rnacentral:rRNA from 1 species
AUUGAACGCUGGCGGCAUGCUUUACACAUGCAAGUCGAACGGUAACAGGCCUUCGGGUGCUGACGAGUGGCGAACGGGUGAGUAAUGCAUCGGAACGUACCCAGAGGUGGGGGAUAACGCAGCGAAAGCUGUGCUAAUACCGCAUGUGAUCUGAGGAUGAAAGCGGGGGACCGAGCAGCAAUGUUUGGCCUCGCGCCUUUGGAGCGGCCGAUGUCGGAUUAGCUAGUUGGUGGGGUAAAGGCCUACCAAGGCGACGAUCCGUAGCUGGUCUGAGAGGACGACCAGCGACACUGGGACUGAGACACGGCCCAGACUCCUACGGGAGGCAGCAGUGGGGAAUUUUGGACAAUGGGCGCAAGCCUGAUCCAGCAAUGCCGCGUGAGGGAAGAAGGCCUUCGGGUUGUAAACCGCUUUUGGCAGGAACGAAACGGUGUCCGCUAAUACCGGGCGCUAAUGACGGUACCUGCAGAAUAAGCACCGGCUAACUACGUG